rnacentral:lncRNA from 1 species
AGUGGAUGCGCAUGGACCGGUCCUCGUGGAAACGGCUCCCGGCGUUUCCCCCCCCCCAAAAUCCAAGCCCCACCAACCCACCCAGCUGGAUAAUUGAAACGGUAUUUGGCAGUAUCCAGUAUUGCUAAGGGUGAUGCAAUUCCUACUUCCACUCUACCCCCCGGGCCUCCUGGCAUAGAGGCUGUCUUACCAAGGCUAAUGCAAACAUUGGAAAUGGUGAGUCACUUUCUACCCUCAUAUGUAGAGGCUCUAUGGGGGCCCUCUCAUGAGGGCUAUACCUAAUUUAAGGGUGAUCAAAUUCAUUUAAUUGGAUCUUCCAUCGAGGUUCUGCAAAGCAUGUUCAACAGAGAGUUUUGCUGAGCUCUGAGAUUGAUCUUUCUGUAAGAUAAUGCAGGAGAGAAAGGGGUCUGAAGAGGUAAAUGUUGCCAGGUAAGGGUUGACAUAGUGCCUUAUGUCAGUCUUAACUGGUCAACAUCAGUACAAUCGGUGCAACAGAAAGCUGUAGACCUGACAGGGAGAAGUCAAAAAGGACAAUCAGUUUGAGAAAAGGAAGGUGGUGGCCAAUGGAGGUAGGACUAUAAAUAAGUGAAGGGCAUCCAGUGCAGUCUGAGUUCAGGCACUGCAGAAGAAGCUUGCAGUCUGCAGUCCUAGAUCUGACCAACCUUCUCUGCAACCUUGGGCAUUUAAAUAUUCAACUGAAGGAAAAAAAAUAAAUGAUAGUAGUAUAACUCUUCA